rnacentral:rRNA from 1 species
GAUGAACGCUAGCGGCAGGCUUAAUACAUGCAAGUCAAGGGGGUAGCAAUACAACCGGCGCACGGGUGAGUAACGCGUACACAACAUACCAUAUACUGGGGUAUAGCUUUGGGAAACUGAAGGUAAUCCCCAUAACAUUGCGAGAGGGCAUCUGAUUGCAAUUAAAGUUUCGGCGGUAUAUGAUUGGUGUGCGUUUGAUUAGCUAGUUGGUAGGGUAACGGCCUACCAAGGCGACGAUCAAUAGCUGGCGUGAGAGCGCGACCAGCCACACUGGAACUGAGACACGGUCCAGACUCCUACGGGAGGCAGCAGUAGGGAAUAUUGGACAAUGGAGGAAACUCUGAUCCAGCCAUGCCGCGUGAUAGAUGAAGGCCCUCUGGGUUGUAAAUAUCUUUUAUCUGGGAAGAAACAAUCUUAUUCUUAAGAUCUUGACGGUACCAGAGGAAUAAGCACCGGCUAACUCCGUGCCAGCAGCCGCGGUAAU